UGCCUCAGUAAMGGCGAGUGAAGCGGCAAAAGCUCAAAUUUGAAAUCCUUCGGGAAUUGUAUUUUGAAGGUGGGUUUGGUUAGGAAAAGUUACUUUAAGUCCAUUGGAAAAUGGCGCCAUGGAGGGUGAUAGCCCCGUAAAAGUAUCCCUUUUCCUUUUAUCCAUUCCCUCCAAAGAGUCGAGUUGUUUGGGAAUGCAGCUCUAAGUGGGUGGUAAAUUCCAUCUAAAGCUAAAUAUUGGCGAGAGACCGAUAGCGAACAAGUACAGUGAUGGAAAGAUGAAAAGCACUUUGAAAAGAGAGUGAAAAAGUACGUGAAAUUGUUGAAAGGGAAGGGCUUGCAAGCAGACACAACCUCGGUUGGGCCAGCAUCGGAGUGGGGGGAGACAAAAAAGAAAAGGAAUGUAACUCUUUCGAGUAUUAUAGCCUUUUUC
rnacentral:rRNA from 1 species